UGGGAACGUGCCCUUCAGUUCGGGAUAACCCAGGGAAACUUGGGCUAAUACCGUGAUACGUGCGAGAGCAGAAAGAUUUAUCGCUGAAGGAUCGGCCCGCGUCUGAUUAGCUAGUUGGUGAGGUAAUGGCUCACCAAGGCGACGAUCAGUAGCUGGUCUGAGAGGAUGAUCAGCCACAUUGGGACUGAGACACGGCCAAACUCCUACGGGAGGCAGCAGUGGGGAAUAUUGGACAAUGGGCGCAAGCCUGAUCCAGCCAUGCCGCGUGAGUGAUGAAGGCCUUAGGGUUGUAAAGCUCUUUCGUCCGGGACGAUAAUGACGGUACCGGAAGAAGAAGCCCCGGCUAACUUCGUGCCAGCCGCCGCGG
rnacentral:rRNA from 1 species